rnacentral:rRNA from 2 species
AGCAGCAGUGGGAAUAUUGCACAAUGGGCGAAAGCCUGAUGCAGCGACGCCGCGUGAGGGAUGACGGCCUUCGGGUUGUAAACCUCUUUCAGCAGGGACGAAGCGAGAGUGACGGUACCUGCAGAAGAAGCACCGGCCAACCACGUGCCAGCAGCCGCGGUAAUACGUAGGGUGCGAGCGUUGUCCGGAAUUACUGGGCGUAAAGAGCUCGUAGGCGGUUUGUCGCGUCGUCCGUGAAAACUUGGGGCUCAACCCCAAGCUUGCGGGCGAUACGGGCAGACUUGAGUACUGCAGGGGAGACUGGAAUUCCUGGUGUAGCGGUGAAAUGCGCAGAUAUCAGGAGGAACACCGGUGGCGAGGGCGGGUCUCUGGGCAGUAACUGACGCUGAGGAGCGAAAGCGUGGGUAGCGAACAGGAUUAGAUACCCUGGUAGUCCACGCCGUAAACGGUGGGCGCUAGGUGUGGGUUUCCUUCCACGGGAUCCGUGCCGUAGCUAACGCAUUAAGCGCCCCGCCUGGGGAGUACGGCCGCAAGGCUAAAACUCAAAGGAAUUGACGGGGCCCGCACAAGC